UACGUAGGGUGCAAGCGUUAAUCGGAAUUACUGGGCGUAAAGCGUGCGCAGGCGGUGAUGUAAGACAGGUGUGAAAUCCCCGGGCUCAACCUGGGCACUGCAGUUGAAACUGGCAAGCUAGAGUAGGGUAGAGGGGUGUGGAAUUCCAGGUGUAGCGGUGAAAUGCGUAGAUAUUGGAAAGACCACCGAUGGCGAAGGCACUCUACUGGGCCACUACUGACACUGAGAGACGAAAGCUAGGGGAGCAAAUGGG
rnacentral:rRNA from 1 species